UACGGAGGGGGCUAGCGUUGUUCGGAAUUACUGGGCGUAAAGCGCGCGUAGGCGGACUGGAAAGUUGGGGGUGAAAUCCCGGGGCUCAACCUCGGAACUGCCUCCAAAACUAUCAGUCUGGAGUUCGAGAGAGGUGAGUGGAAUUCCGAGUGUAGAGGUGAAAUUCGUAGAUAUUCGGAGGAACACCAGUGGCGAAGGCGGCUCACUGGCUCGAUACUGACGCUGAGGUGCGAAAGCGUGGGGAGCAAACAGG
rnacentral:rRNA from 1 species